GUCUUGUGCUGCGUACUUUUAAAUUAUUCUUGUUUUAUGAAGAUUUGGGCCAGCCACACUCUUUUCACCUCACAUCACGUGCACACUCACGCGUACGUGUAUGUUGUCAUCUUGCAAGUUGGAUACACUGCUCAUACCUACCAGCUUGUGAACAUGACAAUAAAGGUUUAACUGACUGCUAGUGUUUUACUGGAGGCAGUACAGAUGUCAAUUUGAAUAUAGUAUCCCACACAUACA